rnacentral:snRNA from 1 species
UGAAACCCAGCGAAACUGGCGGAAA